GAUGUAUAUUCGAAAUCUUGUGAUGUAUAUUCGAAAUCUUGUGAUGUAUGUUCGAUAAUCUUGUGAUGUAUAUUCGAAAUCUUGUGAUGUGUGUUCUACAAUUCAGUGAUGCGUGCAAUAAAAUUGCAUGACGCAACAGAAAAGUAAGGACAAUUUUCAUUGGUUAGAAAUAACGAAAGUAGCCGGAGCGGUCGUAAUGCACACAUUGACACAACUUCGCAAGCAUGAAAUUGGCGAAUUCAACCUAAAGUCAAAAUUAUAGGUACGCAUGAUCGAUGUAACUUCCUUGAUGGUGUGUUGGCUGUUUGCCCAUGUGUAUUUCGGGGUAUAGGAGUAGCCUCCCCUUUUAAAGAUCCAAAAUG